UCAACGCUUAGGUGGUAUGAUUUGAUUGCAUUUAUUUUUCUUUCAUCCCCGAUGCUUUCAUGUGAUUUAGAGAUCAUAGAAGAGACGGAGUGUUUGAUGUUUACACACUGUAUCAUCGACUAUUUGGUUUGUAAUGGAUGAAUUGCCGUGCCCCCAUCAUUUUCAGAAUGUCACAUCCCCAGAGAAUUUGAAAGUGAAUAAUACAUGAUUCCAAUAUGCUAAUUUUUCUUCAAAAGAUGGAAAACAAAUGAUGAAAUUCAUUACUGGUACAAAAAAAAAAAAAAAAAAAAAAAAGUUGAACAGAAAAAUUCCAAUCAACACUGUUUCUCAUUUCCUCAUACAUCCACAAUCA